rnacentral:rRNA from 1 species
UACGGAGGAUCCGAGCGUUAUCCGGAUUUAUUGGGCGUAAAGCGUGCGUAGGCGGUUUGUUAAGUCCAGAAUUAAAGCCCGAGGCUUAACCUCGGUUCGUUCUGGAUACUGGCAGGCUUGAGUAUGGUAGAGGCAAAUGGAAUUCCUAGUGUAGCGGUGAAAUGCGUAGAUAUUAGGAGGAACACCAGUGGCGAAGGCGAUUUGCUGGGCCAUUACUGACGCUCAUGCACGAAAGCGUGGGGAGCAAAUAGG